AAAUGAUUGGAAAUGUCAUGAUAGAUGCCAAAUCAUCUGGAAAAUAUUAUCACAUUGUGCGGCUUAUGGGGCAUGCAGCUUCACACAUAACACUUGAAUGUGUAUUGCUCUGUAUGUCUUUAUUUUCACAAUCAAUGUUUAUCAUUAUAUGUGUGUUUGUUUUUUCAAAGAAUGCUAAGGAUUAAGAUUGUGCCAUACUUGAGAUUUUUUAUUUUUUUAAAAAAAAUAUCUAGCGUUGGAAGAUUUGCCAUUGAUAUUAGAUCAGCCAUUUACAUUUAUAUCAGCCACAACUGUGAUAUCUUUGUUUCUGUUUUAGUUCUAGUUCCUUAUUUUCUGUUUUAAUUCUAUUUUCCUUAUUUAGUUUAUUGUGUAUUAUAAUUUGAUAGGAUGAUGUUUUAUUUGUUUCCAAUCUUACGAAAAGUAAGAUCAAUUUUGAUUUUAGAGAAUUGAAUACCUCAUAGUCACCUAGGAUAUUUAUACGCCUCUAUUGACUUGGGAAUAUUCUGCAGUUUUCUUGACGUUUUAUCACACAUAUCAAGAAAGUGAGGAUUGUUUAUUGUAUAAAAUUGGAUAUUGGGAUUUUUUUUCUUAUUUGAAGAAAGGUUUUGAGGGUGUUUUGUUUUCUGAUUUUGUGAGGGUUUGGAUUUUCUGUUGUAACGUUGUUUUUGUUUCAA